ACAAACGAACUCGAAGCUGCACGCUCUGCUUCACCAGGUAACAGAGCAACAACUCUCCCCGCCACAACGGCGAGCGUCAAAUCUCAGCAACGGGUUGUUCUGCUAUGCGGAGACUAGAUGGAGGACUACGAGGUGGGUUCAUCGUAUCAUCGAUCACCUUCGCCGUCCUGUUCAUUUGGUCUCGAAUGGAUGAUGCAUCCUCGGGCUUGGUGGAAUGAAAAGAGGGCGGUUUCUUUUGUGUCCGAAUGCGGGUGAUGGUUCCGUUUGUCCUGGAAAGAAAGCCUGCGAUGUCUGCCGCUCCACCGUUCGCCAGAUGGGUGCUCACCAGGGCUUGUAGAGUACCUUGAUUUGGUUGGGCGGUCCCAUUUUCACGAAGGGUCAAAUUAGUGGAACUCGAAGAUAUGUGGCAGAAGAUCUGAAUUUAGUCAUCUUGUGUGUGAUUGGAAAUAGGUUCGUGACAGCAAUGAAGGGAUGCCUCGGGGAAGGACAAAAGGAUUAGAUGGAAGAUUAUGAGGUAAACGUACCAUUUUUCAGUCUCUUCAAGCUGUAGAGGGCCAUGUUGAUGCGGUCUGCCCCCGGAAGAAGAUUGGUAACACUUACCCAACUGCAGUUUGUGGUUUUGAAGGUGACAAGACUUACAGCUAGAAAGCUGGCCAUGAUUUUACUCUUACAGCUAGACUCUGAAGGUUUAGAUGCCUCCAGUUGUGAUGCCCUUGUCAUCCCCGGAGGUCCUGCACCACAGUAGUCGGCCUUUGAUGGGAAGGUGAUUGCUCUAGUUAAGGAUUUCAUCGAGGCCAAGAAGCCAGUUGCCUCCAUUUGCCAAGGGCAGCAGAUUCUAUCUGCUGCUGGUGUUCUCAAGGUGGUUUCUUAAUAUUAAUAAUGGGACAAAACUGUCGACUAACAUGUUAUCAGGGGAGAAUGGCAUGGCAUAUCCUUCUGUGAAGCUCAACGUGGUGUUGUAAGGUGCUACGUGGUUAGAACCUGAUCCAAUCAAUCAUUGCUUCGCUGAUGAAAAUUGGUCACAGGAGUGGCUUGGCCUCGUCAUUUGGAGUCCGUUUCUCAGUUGAUGGCAGUGCUUAACUUUCUUUCUGCUGUUCCUGCUUGUACAUGUGUCAAAUAAACUGCAUAGAAUCCCCUUUCUUACUGGCUGUAAGAAGGGGAAGUCUAACAGGGGUUUGUGUUCUGUGAGAGUCGCUUGAAACGGUACAUGGUCUGGAUGUUGAUUGAGUUUUGCACUGACAAGUUUUCUGUCAUUUGAUGCAACGUCAAGUCUGUGCGACUUACAGAAUAUUGCCCUCCCACGAAACUCUAGGAUCCUCUCCCUCUUAUCGUGAUUUGUCACUGGGGAGAGGCAUGUCACAUCCUUCUGUGCGGCUUAAUGUGGCGUUGUAAGGUGCCACAUGGUUAGAACCUGAUCCGAUCAAUCAUUGCUUCACUGAUGAAAAUUAGUCAGAAGGAGUGGCUUGGCCUGUUCCUAGGAGUUCGUUUCCCAGUCGAUGGCCCUGCUC